AGUUAGAGGUUAGGUGUCAUGCUCCAGGACACUUCGACAUGGGACAUGGAGCAGCUGGAGUUUGAACCGCCAACCUUACAGUUCCCAGCGCACCCUUUCUACUCCAUGCACCACCGUCACCGGUUUCAAGAACUUUAUUGAGAGCUUCCCAUAUUACAAAGGUACAAAGUACACAGACUGCUGUUGCCUCUGUCAAAACAAAAUACAGAUCCAAGCUCAAUAUUGAGCAAAAAUUCAAAGUGGCGGUAUGAAGUCUGCAAUGCUGUUUGGAUAAGAUUUAAGCAGGCUCUUUGCAGCCGCUAAUACAGAUAAAAAAUGUUUUAUCAGUAUGAGAUGGCUCAUACAUAUGUGCACUAAUUUUGUUUUGCACAGGUUGCACAUUAUUGUUGUUUUGAAAACAUAUGCAUCAAGAAAGAAUCAGAGUCCUAGCAAAAUAAAUAUUUGGUGACAAAUAAGGCUUGAGGCCACAAAGACCUUUGGAAAUGUUUUUGUGACCUAAAUAAAUACUUAAUGUCAAACGGUUAAUCAAACAAGUGGACUGGACUUGGACUGGACGUUCUAUUCCCCUUUUCUCACCCAUACAACUGAUCUUUGUUCAGGUUUAUUUAUUUAUUUAUACCCCUUAAUUAACUUAUUUCAUAUGAGAAGAUUUUUGGUGGUUGAUAAAACCUGGAAUUGUUUUUUAUUUGGGGUUUUAAAACAUUAAGCCUAGUCAGCAUAUGCAACAUUUGUACACUUCUAUCCAGGUCAAACUGCUAUUGGCAAAUGGAUAUCAUCUCAGUAGUGGCAUAGGCACUGCUAGUUGGGACAGAGGUAGAAACUCAGGACUCAAUAUGGCAAAAGUCUGACCCACCGUUUGCAAUUUCUAGAUUGUUGCACUCUUUAACAUUGUGUCAAGUUGAGAAAAGCUAAGGUUGAUAUUUUUCACAUUUAUGGAUACUAGCUCACGGAUUGGAGAAAAUAGAUUUUUCUUUAUGACCAUUAAGUAAUUUCCAGCAUAAUAAUUGGUAGCA
ensembl:lncRNA